rnacentral:rRNA from 1 species
UACAGAGGUCCCGAGCGUUGUUCGGAUUCAUUGGGCGUAAAGGGUGCGUAGGCGGCGGGGCAAGUCUGAUGUGAAAUCCCGGGGCUCAACCCCGGAAUUGCCUUUAAGACUGCAUCGCUUGAAUCCGGGAGAGGUGAGUGGAAUUCCGAGUGUAGAGGUGAAAUUCGUAGAUAUUCGGAAGAACACCAGUGGCGAAGGCGGCUCACUGGACCGGUAUUGACGCUGAGGUGCGAAAGCGUGGGGAGCAAACAGG